rnacentral:rRNA from 1 species
CCUACGGGUGGCUGCAGUGGGGAAUAUUGCACAAUGGGCGCAAGCCUGAUGCAGCCAUGCCGCGUGUGUGAAGAAGGCCUUCGGGUUGUAAAGCACUUUCAGCGGGGAGGAAGGCGGUGAGGUUAAUAACCUCAUCGAUUGACGUUACCCGCAGAAGAAGCACCGGCUAACUCCGUGCCAGCAGCCGCGGUAAUACGGAGGGUGCAAGCGUUAAUCGGAAUUACUGGGCGUAAAGCGCACGCAGGCGGUCUGUCAAGUCGGAUGUGAAAUCCCCGGGCUCAACCUGGGAACUGCAUUCGAAACUGGCAGGCGAGCGUCUUGUAGAGGGGGGUAGAAUUCCAGGUGUAGCGGUGAAAUGCGUAGAGAUCUGGAGGAAUACCGGUGGCGAAGGCGGCCCCCUGGACAAAGACUGACGCUCAGGUGCGAAAGCGUGGGGAGCAAACAGGAUUAGAUACCCGAGUAGUC